AUUGAACGCUGGCGGCAGGCCUAACACAUGCAAGUCGAACGAGUGGCGGACGGGUGAGUAAUGUCUGGGAAACUGCCUGAUGGAGGGGGAUAACUACUGGAAACGGUAGCUAAUACCGCAUACCAUCAGAUGUGCCCAGAUGGGCUUAGCUAGUUGGGGGGGUAAAGGCUCACCAAGGCUACGAUCCCUAGCUGGUCUGAUAGGAUGACCAGCCACACUGUAACUGAGACCCGGUCCAGACUCCGACGGGAGGCAGCAGUGGGGAAUAUUGCACAAUGGGCGCAAGCCUGAUGCAGCCAUGCCGCGUGUAUGAAGAAGGCCUUCGGGUUGUAAAGUACUUUCAGCGGGGAGGCGUUACCCGCAGAAGAAGCACCGGCUAACUCCGUGCCAGCAGCCGCGGUAAUUC
rnacentral:rRNA from 1 species